rnacentral:misc_RNA from 1 species
CCUUGUGAAGCGUGAUGAGCUCACCCUGGAGGGUAUCAAGCAGUUCCAUGUCAAUGUCGAGAAGGAAGAAUGGAAGCUCGACACUCUCUGCGAUCUCUAUGAGACACUGGCCAUAACCCAGAGUGUCAUCUUCGUGAACACUCGCCGCAAAGUGGACUGGCUCACCGACAAAAUGAGGAGCAGAGACCACACUGUGUCUGCCACCCAUGGUGACAUGGACCAGAACACCCGAGACAUUAUUAUGCGUGAGUUCCGUUCAGGUUCUUCUAGGGUUCUGAUUACCACUGAUCUAUUGGCCCGUGGUAUUGAUGUCCAGCAGGUUUCCCUUGUUAUUAACUAUGAUCUGCCGACACAACCGGAGAAUUACCUUCAUCGUAUAGGAAGAAGUGGACGUUUUGGAAGAAAAGGUGUUGCGAUCAACUUUGUAACAACGGAGGACGAAAGAAUGCUAUUCGACAUCCAGAAGUUCUACAAUGUGGUAAUUGAAGAGCUGCCAGCCAAUGUUGCUGAUCUCCUGUGAGAAGAGAGAAAGGGAAAUAUUUGUGGUAGACUGAGGCGUGGUUUUCUGGUUGAAGUGAAGUACUCAAAGCUUUUUCACCUCUUUAUCAUUUUGCUCUACUUUUUAGUGUCUUAAAUUAAAAUAUUCUUGGACCUAUCUGACCUUGGAAAUGGUGUGCCCUGCACCACUGCAAUAUAAAAGAUUGUCAAAUUGCCUUUUGGGUAAAUUAUGGGCCUUUUUGUUUCUGUGUUGGGGUUUUGUAUUGUAUUUGAGGUUUUUUUUCUCCAAGUUAUAAAAACUCGGUUGUCCUUGCAAUACUAGGGUCUUCG